rnacentral:rRNA from 1 species
GUGGGGAAUUUUGGACAAUGGGCGCAAGCCUGAUCCAGCAAUGCCGCGUGUGUGAAGAAGGCCUUCGGGUUGUAAAGCACUUUUGGCAGGAAAGAAAUAGCGCGUGCUAAUACCAUGCGCGAAUGACGGUACCUGCAGAAUAAGCACCGGCUAACUACGUGCCAGCAGCCGCGGUAAGACGUAGGGUGCAAGCGUUAAUCGGAAUUACUGGGCGUAAAGCGUGCGCAGUCGGUUUUGUAAGACAGGUGUGAAAUCCCCGGGCUCAACCUGGGAACUGCACUUGUGACUGCAAGGCUAGAGUGUGUCAGAGGGAGGUGGAAUUCCGCGUGUAGCAGUGAAAUGCGUAGAGAUGCGGAGGAACACCGAUGGCGAAGGCAGCCUCCUGGGAUAACACUGACGCUCAGGCACGAAAGCGUGGGGAGCAAACAGGAUUAGAUACCCCUGUAGUCC